rnacentral:lncRNA from 1 species
UCAGGUUAUCUGCCCGCCUUGGCCUCCCAAAGUGCUGGGAAUAUAGGUGUGAGACACCGCACCCGGCCUAGUAACCCAGAUAUUCCAUUUUUCCAGCUUCCUUUGUAGCUAAGUGCAGCCACGUUCUGGCCAAUGGAAAACGACUGGUGGAGCUGGGUAAACUUACAGAUCACAUCAUUUAAAGAAACUGCCUCUACCUCCCCUCUCCCCUGCUGUGGGCUGCAAAGGGAAUGGAGAGUCAGCUUCGGCCCUGAAGCAACACCCCAGCGUGAGGCACAGCAACAAAGCAGAAGGAAUCUGGGUCUCUGGACAACCUCAUGGGGCAGAGCUACCCUGGACCACCUCCUCUGGACUCUCACAGAAGAGAAAAACACCCUUGUAGCUUGUUUACUGCCUUCCAGGACUUCUGUUCCAGCACCUUCACCUAUACCCCGACUAGUACGCUCUUCAACCUUUGCAGUCACUUUGCACAACAGGGACCUCGAUGCCUGAACUUUCAUCAGGGCCAACUCAUGCACCAGGGACAGGAGGGACAGUCGGGUCUGGCACUGAUCACUCACCAAUCGUGGAGACAGCAGUGAAGAAACAGUCCUAGGAGAGCCCCAAGAGCCUGCGGAGAAGGGACCCAGCCACUCUCUGGACUGCGGAAUGUGUCGUCACCUGCCUGACCCCUCACACCUGGCUUCACCUGUGCGUGCCACCCCUCGUCACGAAACCGACAGUGAGCGCCAGUCAGCCAGUCAUAACGGCACAGACUUUCUCCUGGUUUUGACUCCCUGGACUCAGGAGAGACGCACAUUUCCCCGAGGAGCUUGCUGAGCGGUGACGGAGAGAGAAAGCCACGAUGAUGCUGAAACACCCUGAGACGGCUCCGACUGGCUCGAGAGGGCAGCUGCCGGAAAGCCCCCCACUCACUGCCUGCCUCUGCUUUGCCGCGACGAUUAGAACGGCUCCUCUUAUCACCACCCUCUGCGC